CGAUAAGAACUCUCAAAAAAAAUUACGCUGUUAUCCCUAAGGUAAUUUAAUCUUUUAAUCUAAAUCUUAGGAUCAAUAAUUUACAUAUAAAUAUUUUAAUAAAAAAAAAGUUUAUUUAAUUUUUCAAUCACCCCAACUAAAUUAAUAUAUCUACAUAAAAACUUAAAUUCUACUUCUUUAUAAAUAAAUAUCAAUAAAACUCUAUAGGGUCUUCUCGUCUUUAAUUCAAAUUUAAGCUUUUUAACUUAAAAAUAAAAUUCUAAUUAAUUUAAAUAGAGACAGUCAUUUUCUCAUCUAACCUUUCAUUCCAGCUUUCAAUUAAAAAACUAAUGAUUAUGCUACCUUUGCACGGUCAAAUUACCGCGGCCAUUUAAAUACUCAUUGGGCAGGCCARACCUUAAAUUAUAAUCAAAAA
rnacentral:rRNA from 1 species